AAGGCCGCGCUUUGCAGUGCCCUGGGAGGUGCAGGCCUGCUGCAUGCUGCGGGGUUGCUGUUCACAUCAGCGGGACUUACAGAGGUGGUUGGAGCCAGCAAGGUAUGAAUAGAUUCAUGAAGGUCUCUGCAGGGUAAGGAAAUGUUUUCGCAGCCUGCUGUUACCUGAUCCAGUCGAUUUGACAUGGCCCCUUAUCAUGGUUGAUCUGAGCAAUGCUCAAUAUUCAGAAACAGAAGUAGCAGCAAACCUCUUCCUUUUCUUCCUUCUCAGUUAACAGGAAAAAUGUUUUGAUUAGUUUGAAGGCUAGGAUUUCUUCUGUGUCUGUUUAGAUAAGCAAAUGAAUGAGUGCAUAUAUGCAAGAGUGAGAGAGAAAAAGAAGUUGCUGAGAGCUAAUUUGAAGAAAUUAGCCUUAUAUUUGCUCCAUUCGUUUCAGGCUAGAUUCUAUUAUUAGUUCCACAAAUUUAAAUGCACACCAUUUCCACUGGUUUCAACGAAAUGUGGACUUUCAGCUUGGAAGCCCAAACCUGUAGCCACUGCUCUAGCCAAACCCAAAUAUUCCUUCCUGUAAAAAGUCAGCACAAGUAGCCUGGUCUUUGUGUCACUGGCCACACCUGCAGCCAGCAUGCCUGGUGGUCUGCUUCGAUACCCAGCAUCCACCCACAGCAGGCUGUUCUCCUGUCUGAACCUCCUGACCUGCUGCCUGGGGGACACAGAAGCUCUGCAUCACCAGUGCUGGGACGUGCAGGCUGUGGCCAUGAGGUCUGGCUGCUCAACGGGCUGAAAGCCAUGCAUGCAAAGUUAGCGUUGAAUUGACGCCCGUACCUUUCAUGAGAUCUAUUAUCCACCUACAGGCUGUUUUCACUUUGAAGUGGCAUUUGCUCCAUAAUAAGUAACAUCUCAAAAUGCUGUUAAUUAAAGUUUCAUCUGUUUAGAGGAUUUUCUUUUUCUUCCUCCCCCCUCUUUUUUUCCUUUCCUUUUCAGAAGCUAGUAAUUAGUCCAAUAAUGUGGAGACAUUGUUACUGCAGCUCAUUAAAUUUGGCAAUGCUCACUUGGACCUUUGAGUGCUGGCAGUGUCAAGUUGACCUGAAACGCAAGGAUUCCAUCUGUCGGGAAUUACUGAUGAAUUGGAAAUUAAAUAUAAGUAUAUAUAUUUAACUCAUUACUUGUGCUGGAUUGACAGUCCUGCGAGCGCUGGCAUUUCAUGUUCAUCGACAGAUUAAUCGUGCUCCCCCCGGGCUCCAGCCCUCAUGGGGAGGGACCGGCAGCAGGGAUGAGAGGAGAGCCAGGUGCCACGGGGAUUUAAUUCUCGUUCUGUCUGCGGAAUACGCUGAUGAGAGUGGCAGUUUGAGGGAAUGAAGACAUAGACCUGCCAUUUCUGUAAAGACCAUGUUCUUUGCAGGGAUUCUGCAGUGUGAAGAAGAACUGGCAUGGACCCCACUGCAGAACAGCUGUGCACAAGCCCAGUGUCCUCGAGCACCUGCUUUCUUCAAGCACUCAUACCACAAAGUACAAAAUGAGCUUGCAAGAGCUGUGGACAUUUGUCCUGGUCAGGUGCCACCCUGAAUGAGUCCAUGCUGGCUCUGCAUGGAGGGGACAUCAGGCAAGCACUUGUGACACCUUGUGCAGGCAUGGUUGAUAUGUUUAUCUCAUUAAUGUAAUUUUUCUAUAAAUGUGCAGACAUUUCUCCCAUCUUAGCACUGAAAAGGCAGCAUGACAGCUGUGUUCUCACCUGCGCUACAUGGGAGCUCAGCUUAAGCAAGGAGAAAGAAGUGUCCCUGUGUGGCUGGGGGAUUUUCAGCUUGGGGCAGAAAAGCAGGCUUUCUGUUUGGUUGUUUUCCUGCUCUGGCUUCCUCAAGUAAGGCCAACAAAGAGUAGGGGCUGGCCAGGUUCUACUGGUGUUUGUUUGAUCUUCCACUAAUGAAGCCUAAGUAUAAGUUACUGCACCAGCUACUCCCCUCACCAUACCACUUUCAGGGAGCACAAGGAUCAUUUUCCAGUGCUCCUGUGCUGUCUCAGUGGUGAUUUCUUGCUCCACUACCCAUCCUAUCGCUGCAAAACAAAAUACAUCACCACAGUGGGUUUGUCAUGUUUGCCUUCUAGCUGCUAUCAGACAGGUUCACUGUCAGCUACAGAGCUAAUGCCAAAACCAGGUAUGUGGGCAUGUUGAAAUACAAGGCUUCUUGAAAGGAGGGAGAAAUAAGGCUGCUUACAGAAGCUCUUAAAUGGGAUGAGGUUUUAUCUUGUGUUAGACUGUGGAUUGACUCAUCGCGAGUAAUGUUGUGAAAUCCACGGGAAGAGACUGCUUGUGCUAACUGGCAGAGCAACCUCAACUGAACACUUGCAGGUUUGGAUAGACUGGUAAGCUUCCAUAGCUGAUGAGAUGACAGUGCUUUAUGUUCUCAUCAGCACGUUGUCUUGCUGGGUCAGGGGAGGGCAUUUCUCUGUUCAAAGAGAGUGGUUUAGUACAGUAGGUGUUCCGAAUGUAUGCGUACACAUGCAAAAGAAGGAAACAUUCACUCCCACAAAGGUCCUUGCUCACUCUUCCAUCCUGAAACCUCUCCCCUCCUCAACCUUGGUGUUGAGGCUGUGCAGCAUUCAACCAGGUGUUUGGGAACAAAGCCUGGUCAGCCACUGGGUCCCCUGCCAUGUGUGUGUGGAUUUGCCAAGGCUCUCUGGUACCUCAUCCUUCUCAAAUGAUGGCAGCACACCCUUUUGUUGUUCUGCAUAUUGGGGACAGCCUAGAAGGUAGAAGUCACGUUGAUCCAGGUCUAAAACACCAAAAAGAUUUGAGGCAUGGUGCAGAGACAGUGGCAAGGAGAUGGUUAACAUCCUCCCCCUUAGCAGGGAGAGAUGCAGCUGCUGAUCCAGUCUGACAAACCGAAAGGGGAUCCAACCCCCAGGGAAAUGUGUCUGGAGUUACUUAAUCCCAAAAGGAUUAGACAAGGAAUACACUCUAGGGAAUCUCUCAAGACUUACUGCCGUUAAAAAAAAAUGAAAAGAAACCCCUCAAACCAACAACAACUCCUUCCCCCUUGACAGUGUGCAGCAAUGGAUGCCUCUGAACUUUCACCAAAAAACACUGGGAGGGGCAGCAGGGAUGUGGUCCAACUCUUCUCGCUAUGCUUUUACCUCCCAUCCUACCACUGAGUCAGUCAGUGCUGUUACUCUGGAAAUCAUCCUCUGCCUUGGCUUCAGUGGUGCUAUCAUUUCCUGCCUCUCCUCCUUCUUCUUUAAUCUCAUUCAGCACGUCCUAUGGAGGAGCUUCUCAUCUCCCUCCAACUUCUGUAUGGAUUUCAUCACUCUGAGUCUUUUAUCCCCACCUCUUCCUCCUUUGUAUCUUACCUCUGGUUAAUCUCAGCCGUGCUCCCCACUUUGCCUGUACAUCUGUUAUCUUUUUGACUUGUAUUUAGACUGCAAGCUCUUUGGAAUAGGGCCUGUCUUUUUAUUUUAUACUUUUACAGUACCUCUAGAAAUCUCCAGGAGCAUGAAAUCACAGACUGGAUUUAAGUCAUCGCGCAGAAUAAAAACAUUAAAAGAGAACUAACUCAUAAGGUUGCAUGGAAAUAUCUCUCUCAUUUUCAGCAGCAGUCCAAGGCAGUAGAGCUCUUGUUGGUACAACCGUGAGAACCCCUCUCUCCCUCAAAACACAAUGGGAUGGAGCAAACCUGCAGCAAAUUCUUCCCAGCAAGUCACUGCCUCGCCAACAGUGAGCAUCAGUUUAUGGCUCUAGGAAGCACUAAAUGUACUGGAAGGGAACAAUCUGGGUGUCUUGACUAGCACACAUUUUAUAUGUCAGUGGGCUCCGGUCAGCACUUCUUUUCUCCAGUUCACUGAGACCUUCAGAGAGGCUUCUUGUUGUUCCC